AUUCAGCUCAUAGCGUAUAUUAAAGUUGUUGCAGUUAAAAAGCUCGUAGUUGAAUUUCGGGAUUAGUACGUCGGUCGUGCCUUAGGUACGAACUGGUGUUACUGUUUCCUUCUUUUUGACUAGCGAACAUGUCAUUAAUUUGGUGUGUGGUGAAAUCAGGACUGUUACUUUGAAAAAAAAAAUUGGGUAAAGCAGGAACCA
rnacentral:rRNA from 2 species